rnacentral:snoRNA from 1 species
AACCCAGAUCUCUUCCCCAGCUGAUCUAAUCGCUGGUCUGAGUGGUCAUCAGUGGAGGGAAAGUAAACUUGAACGGACUUCAAUUCUUCUGUGACCCACAAGCUAGUUUCAAACACAC